rnacentral:rRNA from 1 species
UGGGGAAUUUUGGACAAUGGGCGCAAGCCUGAUCCAGCAAUGCCGCGUGCAGGAUGAAGGCCUUCGGGUUGUAAACUGCUUUUGUACGGAACGAAAAGGCUCUGGCUAAUACCUGGGGCACAUGACGGUACCGUAAGAAUAAGCACCGGCUAACUACGUGCCAGCAGCCGCGGUAAUACGUAGGGUGCGAGCGUUAAUCGGAAUUACUGGGCGUAAAGCGUGCGCAGGCGGUUUUGUAAGACAGAGGUGAAAUCCCCGGGCUCAACCUGGGAACUGCCUUUGUGACUGCAAGGCUGGAGUGCGGCAGAGGGGGAUGGAAUUCCGCGUGUAGCAGUGAAAUGCGUAGAUAUGCGGAGGAACACCGAUGGCGAAGGCAAUCCCCUGGGCCUGCACUGACGCUCAUGCACGAAAGCGUGGGGAGCAAACAGGAUUAGAUACCCUGGUAGUCCACGCCCUAAACGAUGUCAACUGGUUGUUGGGUCUUAAUUGACUCAGUAACGAAGCUAACGCGUGAAGUUGGACCGCCUGGGGAGUACGGCCGCAAGGUUGAAACUUAAAUGAAUUGACGGGGU